AUGUUUGAUGUUCUAACGUGGACCCGUAAUCCGGGUUGCGGACAGUGUCUGGUGGGUAGUUUGACUGGGGCGGUCUCCUCCUAAAGAGUAACGGAGGAGCACGAAGGUUGGCUAAUCCUGGUCGGACAUCAGGAGGUUAGUGCAAUGGCAUAAGCCAGCUUGACUGCGAGCGUGACGGCGCGAGCAGGUGCGAAAGCAGGUCAUAGUGAUCCGGUGGUUCUGAAUGGAAGGGCCAUCGCUCAACGGAUAAAAGGUACUCCGGGGAUAACAGGCUGAUACCGCCCAAGAGUUCAUAUCGACGGCGGUGUUUGGCACCUCGAUGUCGGCUCAUCACAUCCUGGGGCUGAAGUAGGUCCCAAGGGUAUGGCUGUUCGCCAUUUAAAGUGGUACGCGAGCUGGGUUUAGAACGUCGUGAGACAGUUCGGUCCCUAUCUGCCGUGGGCGCUGGAGAACUGAGGGGGGCUGCUCCUAGUACGAGAGGACCGGAGUGGACGCAUCACUGGUGUUCGGGUUGUCAUGCCAAUGGCACUGCCCGGUAGCUAAAUGCGGAAGAGAUAAGUGCUGAAAGCAUCUAA
rnacentral:rRNA from 1 species